rnacentral:rRNA from 1 species
CGCAUGGUUGUCGUCAGCUCGUGCUGUGAGGUGUCGGGUUAAGUCCCAUAACGAGCGCAACCCCUACUGCUAGUUGCCAGCGGGUUAUGCCGGGGACUCUAGCGGAACUGCCAGCGUAAGCUGCGAGGAAGGUGGGGAUGACGUCAAAUCAGCACGGCCCUUACGGCCUGGGCUACACACGUGCUACAAUGGUCGGUACAAAGGGUUGCCAAGCCGCGAGGUGGAGCUAAUCCCAUAAAACCGAUCGUAGUCCGGAUCGCAGUCUGCAACUCGACUGCGUGAAGUCGGAAUCGCUAGUAAUCGUGAAUCAGAAUGUCACGGUGAAUACGUUCCCGGGCCUU